rnacentral:rRNA from 1 species
UACGUAGGCAGCGAGCGUUGUUCGGAGUUACUGGGCGUAAAGGGUGCGUAGGCGGUUGUUUAAGUUUGGUGUGAAAUCUCCCGGCUCAACUGGGAGGGUGCGCCGAAUACUGAAUGACUAGAGUGCGGGAGAGGAUAGUGGAAUUCCUGGUGUAGCGGUGAAAUGCGUAGAGAUUAGGAAGAACACCAGUGGCGAAAGGCGACUUACUGGACUGGUAACUGACGAC